rnacentral:rRNA from 1 species
GACGAACGCUGGCGGCGUGCCUAAUACAUGCAAGUCGAACGAGAGCGACCGGUGCUUGCACUGGUCAAUCUAGUGGCGAACGGGUGAGUAACACGUGGGUAACCUGCCCAUCAGAGGGGGAUAACAUCCGGAAACGGAUGCUAAAACCGCAUAGGUCUUCGAGCCGCAUGGCUUGAAGAGGAAAAGAGGCGCAAGCUUCUGCUGAUGGGUGGACCCGCGGUGCAUUAGCUAGUUGGUGAGGUAACGGCUCACCAAGGCCGUGAUGCAUAGCCGACCUGAGAGGGUGAUCGGCCACAUUGGGACUGAGACACGGCCCAAACUCCUACGGGAGGCAGCAGUAGGGAAUCUUCCGCAAUGGACGCAAGUCUGACGGAGCAACGCCGCGUGAGUGAAGAAGGUUUUCGGAUCGUAAAACUCUGUUGUUAGAGAAGAACAAGUGCUAGAGUAACUGUUAGCGCCUUGACGGUAUCUAACCAGAAAGCCACGGCUAACUACGUG